UUUGCUUUGCUGGAGUCCUCCUGUGUUUUCUGUGGCUAUCCCCUGCCCCGCUUUUAUCUAACAAAUGGUGCCAAAACCCAGGAAGAGGAAUGAGUGGGUUAUUUAUGACCCGGUUCCCUCUUACCAAACCAUGAUGCUGACCAUGCACUCCUCCAACCAGCUUGCCUAUGCCGGAUCCCACCACUCAUCACAUCAGGACCAAGGUUAAGAGUCCAUCUGCAUUCCUCACCCUCUGACAGAGUUUGGAAACAAAAAGGAGCAGAGCAAAAAAAUCAGCUAGUGUAGCUGUCCUGGUGGGAAUCAGCCUGGUAUCAUCCGUAGCCACCACAGGAUUCGCAGCAGGGAGUCUGGGACAUACCUUGCUCUCAGCCUAACACCUCGCUCAGGAGAUCCAGGACCUCAAGCAGGAGCUCACUAUGGUGGUGGAAGCAACAUCCCAGUCAAUCCAGAUCUUGCAACAGCAACUGUCCUCCCUUGCCAAAGUUGCCCUCUAGAACAGGGAGGGCCAUGCACAUGCCCUGGCCCACAUGAAGAGGACAGAGGACACCUUGUGGAAGUCGGAGCUCUCCUUCUACCCUGUGGGCCUCAG